AAGGCGGGGAUGACGUCAAAUCAGCACGGCCCUUACGUCCAGGGCUACACACGUGCUACAAUGGCCGAUACAGAGGGCAGCUACCUGGUGACAGGAUGCAAAAUCUCCAAAGUCGGUCUCAGUUCGGAUCGGAGUCUGCAACCCGACUCCGUGAAGUUGGAUUCGCUAGUAAUCGCGCAUCAGCCAUGGCGCGGUGAAUACGUUCCCGGGCCUU
rnacentral:rRNA from 1 species